rnacentral:rRNA from 1 species
AGAGUUUGAUUAUGGCUCAGGAUGAACGCUGGCGGCGUGCUUAACACAUGCAAGUCGAACGGAGUUAUUGCGAAGCGGAAGGGCUUGCCCGGAAGUGGAGGGAGUAAACUUAGUGGCGGACGGGUGAGUAACGCGUGGGUAACCUACCUCGUACAGGGGGAUAGCAGUUGGAAACGACUGAUAAAACCGCAUAAAACGGCAGCAGGGCAUCCUGCAACCGUCAAAUAUUUAUAGGUACGAGAUGGGCCCGCGUCUGAUUAGGCAGUUGGCGAGGCAAUGGCUCACCCAAACCUACGAUCAGUAGCCGGCCUGAGAGGGUGAACGGCCACAUUGGACUGAGACACGGCCCAAACUCCUACGGGAGGCAGCAGGUGGGGAAUAUUGGACAAUGGGGGGAACCCUGAUCCAAGCGACGCCGCGUGAGUGAAGAAGUAUUUCGGUAUGUAAAGCUCUAUCAGCAGGGAAGAUGAUGACGGUACCUGACUAAGAAGCCCCGGCUAACUACGUGCCAGCCGCGGC